GCAGAGCAACUCCUACGGGAGCAGCAGUGGGAAUAUGCACAAUGGGCGCAAGCCUGAUGCAGCCAUGCCGCGUGUAUGAAGAAGGCCUUCGGGUUGUAAAGUACUUUCAGCAGUGAGGAAGGUGGAUAUGUUAAUAGCAUAUUCAUUUGACGUUAGCUGCAGAAGAAGCACCGGCUAACUCCGUGCCAGCAGCCGCGGUAAUACGGAGGGUGCGAGCGUUAAUCGGAAUUACUGGGCGUAAAGCGCAUGCAGGUGGUUUGUUAAGUCAGAUGUGAAAGCCCGGGGCUCAACCUCGGAAUUGCAUUUGAAACUGGCAAACUAGAGUACUGUAGAGGGGGUAGAAUUUCAGGUGUAGCGGUGAAAUGCGUAGAGAUCUGAAGGAAUACCGGUGGCGAAGGCGGCCCCCUGGACAGAUACUGACACUCAGAUGCGAAAGCGUGGGGAGCAAACAGGAUUAGAUACCCUGGUAG
rnacentral:rRNA from 1 species